CCCUUAGAUGUCCUGGGCUGCACGCGCGCUACACUGACACGUUCAACGAGUCUACCUGUCCCGGUAGGGUUGGGUAAUCUUAUUAAAACGUGUCGUGAUGGGGAUAGAUUAUUGCAAUUAUUAAUCUUCAACGAGGAAUUCCUAGUAAGUGCAAGUCAUCAGCUUGCGCUGAUUAUGUCCCUGCCCUUUGUACACACCGCCCGUCGCUCCUACCGAUUGGGUGAUCCGGUGAAUAAUUCGGAUUGCGGCAACGUGGGCAACCGCGAUGCUGUGAGAAGUUUAGUGAACCUUAUCACUUAGAGGAAGGAGAAGUCGUAACA
rnacentral:rRNA from 1 species